UACAGACGUCGCUGGAUGGUGUGUCCAACC
rnacentral:piRNA from 1 species